rnacentral:lncRNA from 1 species
GUCACAGACAGGUCCUGUCUGAUUCACUGACAGCCCUGGGGGAAGGGAGGUAUAUCAUGACCUGCUCCUCUCCUACUCCCUGGGCUUGAGUCACUCCUACUGAGUCAGCUCCGGGGAGUAAAGAUGAAGCAAGAAGCUGACAUCACACCAUAUCAAGCUAGAAGGCCUACUGGGGCUUCCAGUGUGACAUGCGGCAGAUUUCUCUGUACAAAGUAUCAGAUAAUGCAGGAGUGCCUGGGAACAUAGUAUCUCCUUCCUCUCCUGGAUCUAGAGACCCAAGAUAAGGAGUCAGGUUGGAAGAACGGCAGCUACAGAACCCACCCUAAAUGAUGUAAGUAUUCACCUAAUACCUGCCUCUCAGUGCCAUCCAUAAUCUUAUCCUGGAGUGGGAGUUAGAUGUAAGGAAAGAGGGACCAAGGAUC